GUGACGUCACGGGCCACCCGCCAGCCCCGCGCUCUACCAGGCAGAGCGCGUGUGGCCGCCGAGCACAUGGACCCACUGGUCAAGCGGGCUCGGCAAGGCCAGGAUGAAGAGAAGCUACGAACUUAGCAUUCCCAGAGCCCCCCGAGUGGAUAUCCGCGUGGAAAGGAUGUUGGCAGCCCCGGUGACCUCGGAGUCACGGCUGGAUCCACCCUCUUUAUACCCUUUAAGCGUUCCAGAAGGAUUUUGAGAUCCUUUCCUAAAUCAAAGGUGGAAUAUUUGGGGAUUUGGAAAAUUGAGAUGUGAAGCGUUGACUUAAGAGAUGCCAAGUAACUCAGCAGAUGUCACACAGACGAUAAAUAGCAAAGAUGGAAGUCUUCAUGCCGGAGGCAAUCCUAUAAGACAGCUGAGUUCUGCAGAGCUGGAGACAGACUUGCUCAGGUGAUAGAUCCAGCCAUGAUACUGACCCUAAGAGAAUGAGACGCUCUGCAGAAGACAGAAGAUUCCUGAAACUGGGAAAGGUGCCUAGAAAUCCUGAUAAGAGUGAAGAAGGCUCGGCUCUCCAGUGUGGUUUUCCAACAGGAGUCAAAUAUUAAAGGACAUGAGCGUGUUGGGGAAAAAGAUGGAUAGUGCUAAACAGCCUGAGUUCAUCCUCACUAUCCUCUUCAUAAGGAGAGCAAGAACAACCCCGGAAAUGGCUCAUGCUUAAGGUUUCUAACCACGGUCACACCUACAACACACUGAUUGACAAUAUAGGUUACAGUACACA
rnacentral:lncRNA from 1 species